CAGUAGCCGCGGUAAUACGUAGGGUGCGAGCGUUGCUCGGAAUGACUGGGCGUAAAGGGCGCGUAGGCGGAUUGUUUAGUUAGGCGUGAAAUUCCUGGGCUUAACCUGGGGACUGCGCUUAAUACAGGCAGUCUAGAGUGAGGAAGAGGGUUGUGGAAUUCCCAGUGUAGAGGUGAAAUUCGUAGAUAUUGGGAAGAACACCGGUGGCGAAGGCGGCAACCUGGUCCUUGACUGACGCUGAGGCGCGAAAGCGUGGGGAGCAAACAGGAUUAGAUACCCCAGUAGUCCCUGUCUCUUAUAC
rnacentral:rRNA from 1 species